rnacentral:lncRNA from 1 species
AAACUUAUACACUAAAAGUCUAUUCUCAGCAAUCUUAUACUCCUUUCCAUUCCCGUUCAUACCUCUCUCUCUCCAAUUGAGCAAGUCUUCAUAUACCCAAAAUACCAAAACACCAAAAUUCUUCAAAAUCCUCUAAGAACGGAAGUCACCAACUGAAAUGGAGAAGGAAUUGGAGUAAGGUGCAGUCCAAAAGAAGAAUUUAACUCAACUAAUUGCAAGUUGGAGCAAGGAUUUGAUCAUAACAUCAAGCUACAAAGAGGUACGUUAGUUAUAUUUGCUGAGUUUAUGAAUUGAGAAAAUAGAGAAUAGUUUAUUGUUACUAUAAAUUGAAUUGCUUGAUUUGUGAUUGAGUUGUGAAUUAGUUUGAGGAGGUUUAUGCAUGACAUAUGGAGUGAUAAGGAAGAAAUUUUUUGGAUAAAUUCAUGUAAGAACUCUAUUUUUAAAACUAAUGCACAUAUAGUGUGUUUGAAAAAUUGCGCUGUCAAGCAUAAAUAGAAGGAUUUGGUCAAGUUUGUGAUUAAGGAAUUCUUUAUACAUGUUUUAUAAAGUAAGUCAAGCUGUUUGGGUGAUCCCAAACAAGUUUAAAAGCGAAUUUAUGAGAAUUGAACAAGUUUGGCUCGGUUGAAAAUCUGCUCCAACAUGGCAGUUUUGAGCUCUUAUAAAACCGGUUUAAGUUGUUCAUUUUGGCUGAUUUAUAUUUUUAUAAAAUAAUAUGUAGUACCAUCUAGAACAUAUUAAAAUUUGAGAGCAAUUAGAUGUGUGGAUUGCAAGAUAGAAAAUCGUAAAGUAGGCAAGAAAAUAACAAAGUUGUUAGAAAUCUGGAAAAUUUCUUAGUCUGAAACUACUGUGAAUGGGCUGUUUCGCGCCAUUGUUUCGAAGCCUUGUCAAACUCUUUUCAUACAUGUUAUAUUUUUUAAAAAAUACUACGUAGUAUGAGGUAGAACAUAUCACAAAAUGGCUUCAAUCUGAUGUAUAAUGAGUGAGAUAAUAUUUUGCAAAACUAGCACGAAAAUCACAAAAUUCAAAAUUUCUAGAUUUUUGCCAAGAGCCUGGGCAGUGUGCAUGCAAUCCUACGAAGGUUACUGUUUCUAGCACGCCGAGUUAAUUUUUGGGCAUUACGUAAUUUUUUGAUGUGUUGCUCAAUUUUUCGUAUAGAAUCCAAAUAUGUAAUCAUUUCGUAGCACUUUUUGGAAAACCCAAAAAGUGUGAACUAAUUAGAAGAAAAUUUUCGCUAUUUUGUUAACUUUGAUGCAAUUUCAUAAUAUAAUUAAGUUGUGUAGUAGUAUGGAUGUAUUUGUUAACCUACAUAAGGUAUAAUACAUCAAAGCAUAAGGUAGGGCUAAGCAAGUAAUCAAAUUGGAACAGAAACCACACCAAAAACCGCACGAACCGCACCAAUUAAAAUCGCAUCACCGAUUCCGGCGUAUUUGGCGGUUAUAGGUGGGUUGAAUAACUAAAUUUACGAUUCCGAUUUGGUUACUAGCCAAAAUCGCACGCAUAAAAUUGAGUUCGCACCAUGUGUGUGUAUGUAUGUAUUAUCUCUAGUAAAUUCUAAAGUUACUUUCACAUGAAUACGCUCAGAGAAAACCUCAGUCUUGCAUUGUCAUUGUUUCACCAAUUGAAAGAAGAUUGUUAGAGGUUAUAGAGUCAAAAAUUAAGCAAUUGAGUUUUGGAAUUUCGAAUUUGUUUGAUGCGUUAUUGGAGGGGCUUAUAGCUGAGGGGCCAAAUUCGUUGAUUUGAGCACUUGAUGCAUUGGUUAAGGUCAAUAUUAUAAUAGUAAUAGUCUAAUAGAUUAUUUUUCAAAUUAGGUAAAGUUAGGAUUAUAUCCUAUAAGUCCUCCCUGCAAUAUAUAAGAUAGAAUUUCAUUCUAUCUCCAGUAUAUACUAUUAAUUUUUGGAGAACUAGAUAAACAUUCUAUCUCCAGUAUAUACUGUUAAUUUCUGGGUAACCCAUAAUAGUUAUCAUGGUCGGUCAACGGUUUUGUAGCUUUCAUAUCUUUGAAUCUGUGUAAUAGAUUUGUGUUGUGUUUGUUGUAAUAGGUAGUCUAUAUGUCAAAGUACAUAUAUAUAACACUAGUUUGGACCAAGCAUGAUUCUAAGGUCUCGAUCUAUAUAUGUUGGUCAAAGUACAGCCAAAGGUUGUUCUUCAUGUUCAUCAGUUUUUUGGGUAACCCAUAAAACUUGGUCAAGCUCGGUCAACGAAUUUUGACCAUUAAUUUCAGUAAUCAUAUGAACUGUUUAACCAAUUUAAGGUCAUAGAUAUGUAAUAUGUAUAUCAAGGUAUUAAUUUAUUACAAAAAGUUAUUAAAACAACAAACAGAAAGCGAUUAAAAGGCUGGUCAAAGUAGUCAGUUCAACCUGUUCUUAAGUUUUCUGGGUAACCCAGAAAACAGAACAUCGUGAUCGGUCAACCACCUUUGACCACCUAUAUCUUGAAAUAUAUGGUUCUAAUGAACCUGUUUUCUUUUUCAGAAUAAAGACCUCAUGUCAUGCUACAAAUAACACAUAAUUAACAGACCUAAUUAUUAACAUACAUGAAUCUACAAGCUUUGAUAUUCGACUGUCAGACUUGUUUUUUCAAAAUUCCUAGAUUGCUUAACACACUAAUUUGAGGCAUCUAGAUGUUAUGAAAACAUGUUCUAUUAACUUAGCAUACUUUCUAACAUGUUAUUACAUAUAUCUAAACAUCUAAACAACAAUUUGAACAAAGCAUCAAAGAUCUAGCUAUGAAUUAGGGUUUGCACAUUUCUUGCUUGAUUUUGAUUUCUGGCUAUUGAAUCUGUUAUUGCUAUCACCAGGGCUUGUAUAGGCAGGUUAUAUGAGUGUUUUGGCUUAUAAUUUUUGUGGGUUUGUUCUGAGCUAGGUUUUUUUUUAUAAAUUUUUCUAACUUGGCUUUUUGGUCAUUUUUCCGCCUACUUGCCUCCUAAAAGAUCUGAUCUAUGACUCUUCUGGUGCUUGAGAGUUUGGAAGCAUGUCAUGUGAUGUUUUGGGACUUGUGUGGAUGACUCUCAACCUACUUGUGAGCUAGUUGACCAAAUUAGUAUCUUAAAUAUGCCCUAAUUCUCAUUAAUUUUGAUUAGGGUUUUGUUUUUAAUGAUUAGGGUUGCUUAAUGUUGUUUAUUAGUACCUAAUUGACAUUUAUUAAUCAUGAUUAGGUGUUAGAAUAACCUAAUUAGGGUUUAGUUUAGCUAAUUAGGGUUAGGGUUUACAAAUUAGGGUUAGGAUUUAUAAUCUAGGGUUUCUAACCUUGAUUUUACAUAAAUCCUAACAAGCACGACAAGGCAUUUUGUCAGUGUAAGCAUGAUAAAGCAGCUUAUCAAAACAAAUAUACCAAAAAGUUCAUUUUCAGAAGAAAAUUUUUAAGCACAAGGUAUCAAGCACGUCAAUUUUUGGGCGAAAAUUUAUUUUACCAAAUUUGUUUAACAAAGUAUAUAUUAACACAUAACAGUUUCAGAAUGGGGAGAUUUUAUUAAUAUAACUGAAUUUAUAUAUCCGAGUCUUAUUAGGGUUUUGCGGUUUUACAUUCACCCCCGCUAAUAAGAAUUCUGUCCUCGAAAUUACAGUACAGGUUAAGUAAACAGUUAGGGAUAGUUCUCUCGCAUUUUAUCUUUGAGCUCCCAUGUAGCCUCUUCAACGUUCUGAUUCCUCCAGAUCACUUUGAACGAUGCUAUCACUUUAUUCCUCAGGACUUGCUCUUUACGAUCAACGAUCUGCACAGGUUCUUCUACAUAAGAAAGAUCUUCUUCAAUUUCGAUUAGCUCAUAAUUUAUAAUAUGUUUAUAAUCAGGUUUGUAUGGUUAUAAUACGAAUACAUGAAACACAUUAUGAAUAUGGUUUAACUCAGGAGGUAGUGUUAUUUCAUAAGCAACUUCACAUAUGCUCCUCAAAAUUUCAAAAGGUCUAAUGAAUCUCGAACUCAGUUUUUCUUUCUUGCCAAAACGUAUCCUUCCAAGGAGAUACUUUCAAGAAUACGUGGCUUCUUACGCUAAAGUUUCGUUGUUGACGAUGUGGAUCAGCGUAUUUUCUCUGACGAUCUUGAGAUGCUUGUAAUCGCUCACGUAUAAUUCUGAUGGUUUUAGUAGUUUGUUGAAUUAUAUUAGGUCCUAACAUUUGUCUUUCCCCGACCUCAUCCCAACAUAAGGGUGUUCUACAUUUUCUCCCAUAUAAGGCUUCAUAUGGUGGCAUACCUAUACUAGCAUACAUAUACUAGCAUGAUAACUGUUGUUGUAGGCAAAUUCCACCAAAGGUAAUUGAUCUUCCCAACUUCCUUUGAAGUUAAUGAUAUAUGUUCUCAACAUAUCCUCUAAUGUUUGAAUGAUUCUCUCACUUUGCCCAUCUUUUUGAGGGUGAUAAGAUGUAUUCAAUCUUAAUUGUGUUCCUAAAUGUUUUUGAAGGCUCUUCCAAAAAUCCGAAGUAAAACGUGGAUCUCGAUCUGAUACUAUAGAAACAGGUACUCCAUGCCUAGAGAUGAUUUCAUUAAUGUAUAGCUUGGCAAGGUGGUUUAAGUUAUGGGUAAUUUUAAUAGGUAAAAAGUGAGCUGAUUUGGUUAAACGGUCAACUAUUACCCAAAUGGCAUUGUGGCCCUUCUGUGUACCUGGAAGGCCUACCACAAAGUCCAUGGUUAUAUGUUCCACUUUCACUCAGGAAUUGGUAAGGGUUGAAGUAAUCCACUUAGCUUUUGGUGUUCAGCUUUAACCCUUUAACAUGUGAGACAUUUACUUACCCAUUCAUCUAUUGCUCUUUUCAUAUUCGACCACCAAAAGUGUUGACUUAAGUCUUUGUACAUUUUUGUACGGCUAGGAUGUAUGGCAAAUGUAGAAUUAUGAGCUUCGUUUAAGAUUUCGUCUUUUAAGGGUUGGUUUAACGGAACCCAAAUUCUAUCUUCAUAUCUUACUAUUCCAUCCUUGUCUAUUCUUAAUAUGAGUUAUAUUAGACUUAUAUUUCUGACAUUCAUCAUCCUUUUCCUGCAUCUCUUCGAUUCUAUCAAGUAGAGAUGAAACUCCCUCUAGAAUGAAUAACUUUUGGGUAGAGAUUGUUGGACAUUCCACCUCAAUUUCUAAUUUUUCAAAAUCUUUUAUUAACCUAUCAUUGGUGGUUAUUACGUUCAACUUUUCUUGAUUCUUUCUACUUAACGCAUCAGCUACGACAUUAGCUUUACCGGGAUGAUAUAAGAUUUCACAUUCAAAAUCCUUUAUCAAUUCUAACCAUCUUCUCUGUCUUAAGUCCAGUUCUUUUUGGUAAAAAAUAUUUUAGACUUUUAUGAUCUGUAUAUAUCUCGCACUUCUCCCUGUACAAGUAAUGUCUCCAAAUUUUUAGAGCAAAGACUACCGCAGCUAACUCUAGGUCAUGAGUAGGAUACCUCUUCUCAUAAUCUUUGAGUUGUCGUGAUGCAUAAGCAAUCACUUUCCCAUGUUGCAUCAACACACACCCUAAACCUCUAUGUGACGCAUCACUAAAAAUUACAAGGCAUCUUGUAUCAUCUGGUAAGGACAACACUAGAGCCAUGCUCAAUCGCUUCUUCAACUCUUGAAAGCUCUCUUCAUAUUUUUUUUGUCCAAACGUAUUUGACCAUCUUUCGAGUUAAAUUGGUUAGUGGGGUUGCUAUUUUUGAAAAAUCUUUUAUAAACCAUCGAUAAUAACCUGCUAAACUGAUAAAACUUCUUACUUCUAUUGGAAUUGUUGGUUGUUCCCAAUUCACAACUUUUUCGAUCUUAGUUAGAUCUACUGAUAUUCCAUCUUUGUCAAUUACAUGACCUAAAAAUUGAACUCUCUUUAACCAGAAUUCACACUUCGAAAAUUUCGCAUAAAGUUGUUCCUUUCAUAAUAUCUCUAAAAUAACUCUCAAGUGUUCAACAUGUUCUUCCUGUGUUUUCGAGUAUACCAGAAUAUCGUCGAUAAACACUACAACAAAUUGUCCAAGCAUGGUUUAAACACUCGAUUCAUUAAAUCCAUAAAUGUUGCUGGUGCAUUUGUCAAUCCAAAAGACAUUAUAAGAAACUCAUAAUGUCCAUAGCGAGUCCUGAACGCUGUUUUUGGCACAUCUUCCUUUCUUAACUUUAACCGAUGAUAACAUGUUCUAAGGUCAAUCUUUGAAAAGUGUUCGGCCCCCUUUAAUUGGUCAAACAAAUAAUCAAUCCUUGGUAAAGGAUAUUUAAUCUUAAUGGUUAAUUUGUUUAAUUCUCUAUAAUCUAUACAUAAUCUCAUGGUUCCAUCCUUCUUCUUUACAAAUAAUAUUGAUGCUCCCCAAGGUGAAACACUAAGUUGUUUGUACUUUUUAUCUAAGGGUUCCUGUAAUUGUACUAGUAACUCUUUCAGUUCUACAGGUGUCAUUCUAUACGGUGCCUUAGAAACCGGUGCCGUUCCCAAUGCAAGAUCAAUGACAAACUCAAUUUUCCUAUAUGGAGGUAAACCUGGUAAGUCAUCCGAAAAUACAUCGGGAAAAUCCUUAACUACGGGUAUUUGAUCUAGUUUUACUCCUUCCUGUUAAGUAUCAACCAUCUAGGCAAAAUAUCCUGAACAAUCUUUUUUAAAUAACCUUUCUGCUUGAGUUAUGGUCAAGCAUCUAGAUUGCUUAGGUGAACAACUUCCGUUGAACACUACCUUUGACUUCGAUGCAGUAAAAAGGUUUAUACGUUUUUGAUGAUAAUCAAUCAUCGCAUUAUGGUUAACUAACCAAUCCAUUCCUAAGAUUAAAUCAAAUUAUCCCAACUAAAUUGGAAUAAGAUCUACCAGAAAAUUGUGUCCCUUAUCUCCACACUACAAUUCCUAUAUAUGGUUUUAACCGGAAUCUUUUCGUUGUUUGCAAUUUCUAUACAAAAUGGUUUGUCUAAAUUUUCACAUGUUAUAUUCAGGUUUUUAAAAAAACUAUUAGACACAAAGGAACAAGUAGCACCAGAAUCGAAUAACACAUAUGCAUUUAAAGUGUUGAUAGGGAUGAUACCUGUCACCACGUCCUGUGCAGCAACAGCAUCCCUCACCGACAUAUUAAAUGUUCUCGCGGUUGGUCGACUCUGAACUCCAACUACAGCUACUGUUGACUGAUUAUUGUUAUUCUUCGGUACUCUAUUCCCCUUUCCUCCCUGGUUCUUAGGUUUGGGACAAUUUCUUGUGAAAUGAUCCGACAAACCACAAUUGAAACAUUUCUUUUUAUUGGGGAGAGGACACUGUGGAGAAAGGUGUCCCAUUUGUCCACAAUUAUAACAUUUACUAUUAAAACAUACCCAUUUAUGUUUUUCUCCAUAGGUAUAACAAGGUUUAAUGUUAUUAUUACUAAAGUUACUAUUGUUAUUACCUAUAUUUUUUCCCGUGUUAUUGGAAAAAGUAGUAUACCAUUUCUGUUUAUUAUUAAACCCACCUAAAUUGGGUUCAGUCUUAAGUUUCCCUUUCUCAUUUUGACUCUUCUUUUUCUGAUAAAAUUUAAUGAGACUUUCGUUUUCACUUUCAGCUAUAGAAGCUUUCUCGAGUAUUUCUGAAAAAGUCUUUAUUUGGAGUACCGAUAAUUUACUUCGUAUCUGAGGUUUCAAACCUUCUUGAUACCUCUGAGUCUUUCUAAGUUCAAUAUUGACUUGGUGAGGAGCAAACCUGGACAGUUCGUUGAACUUGGCUGUAUACUGAGAUACAGUCUCCUUGUUUUAAUUCUAGAAAUUUUACUUCCAUAUGAUCUUUCAAAGAUUGAGAAAAAUAGUUUUCAAAGAACAAAUCUUUGAAUUUAUCCGAAGGUACAAUUUUAGUUUCUACCCGACACUUAGGUGAUUCCCACCAAUCAGGUCUCUUUGUUUUAAUUCUAGAAAUUAUACUUUCAUACGAUCUUUCAAAGACUGAGGAAAAUAGUUUUCAAAGAAAAAUUCUUUGAAUCUAUCCCAAGGUACAAUUUCAGUUUCUACUUGACCCUUAGUUGAUUCCCACCAGUAAUUAGUCUCACCUUUCAAGAAAAAGGUUGCAAAAUUCGUCUUUUGAUUAUUAUUGACAUUGGUUACUAGAAAAAAAAUUUCUAUUUCAGUAAUCCAAAUUUUUGCAUCGACAGGUUCAGUUGUACCUUUGAACUCAGGUGGACCAACUAAUUUAAAAUCUUUAAAGGAAGUGUUUUGGGUGGUUGGUCUAUUCAUAGCACCUAACAAAAGUUCUACUAAAUUUUGGGCAGGAUUAUCAUCAUUAUUUAUCUCUCGUUGGGGUUUUCUGGUUGGUAGCAUGAUUCUAUAUAAAAUAACAAGAAAAAUCCUCAUAAGAAUUUGAAUAAUACAAACAUAUCUUUUAUUCAUAUAUCACAAGAGUCAUACAAAACGACUUAGUAGUUUACACAUACUACUAGUUCUAUUACAAACUUUAAAUGUUCCUUUAUUCAUACUAUUAUAGAGCAUUUAGACUUCUAUACUACCCUCUUGAACUCAUUAACAUCAUCGAAGGAAUCUUAGAUUAUGUGGCAUACAACAGAUCGAUCUAUCAGAUAGGCAGUUUUCUUCUCCUCCACCGGAUAUCGAAGUACUCGACGCUGCAAAUCGUUGAAAACAUCUCGAGUACCCAGAGUAGAUUUGAGAAGCCUUGACAGUAUUUUUUUCCUGCCCCUUUGUGCAUGGUGCAGUUGUACUUUUAGUCGAUUAUUGGUUCCCCUUUCAUGCUUUAACAUUCCCUCAACUAAGUGUGCCCUAAACUGCAUUUUAUUAUUCUCAUAUUCAGAAGUCUUCAUUAGUAAUGUCAUUGCUUCAUCAUGUUCAUCAAUUCUCAUUAAUUGCCCUGCUACUGGAUCUUCCUCUUCCUCAGCAUCUAGCAGUUGUUGAUCACGAAGCAAUUCUUCAUCCUCUGCAUCACUAGCUAUAAAUGACUCAAUUUGUGGUGGAUUGUUUAGUACUAUCACCAUUUCUUCAGCACUGGAGUUAGCCAUCUUUAAAAUAAAAAUUCCUUUAAUACUGGUAUGGAAAUUUACACAACACAAUAUUGUUUUUAUGUUAUUUUUAUGUGUACUUUAAAAUUUUUACGGACUCGAAUACUAUAUACUAAGAUUUCUCUUCCUUAUAUCUAUAGCCUUAACAGCUCUGAUACCAUUAAUGUAACACCCCCAUAUCUAUACAUCCACUGUAUCCGAUAUGGUGCUUACUACAAGUCAAUAUAUAUAACGCAUUCAAAUCUAUACACACAUGGUAUCCGAUUAAAUGCUUAUAUCUAAUUGAGUGACUAUACAAUUUAUAACCAGAUAUAAUUUCCAUAGAUUCAAGAUUCAUAACAUCCCAUAACAGAUAACAAUUCUCAAGAGAACUAUUGGUGUGUUUGGAUACCCUCACAUGGAUAUAUGAACUAUAUCUGUGAAUAGUAUAUAUCUAUCCGAAGUUCAGAGUAUCAGUAAUAACAUGAACAGUCCAUAUUACCAAUACCCUCACUCAGAUGUAUAGUCUAUGUCAUGUGAAUUACACUAUCGUAUCGAUAGUACCUAUUUAUCCAAAAUUCAGAGUAUUAACAACAUGAACAGUCCAUGUUAUCAAUACCCUCACUCAGAUAAAUAGUUCCCAAGGAUCUCAACUAAUUUGAACAUUCUAAUUACAUCUAUAUAUGUAAGAAAACACGGUUGCAGAAAUAAAAAAUAUUAUAUAUCAUAAAUAUUAAGGUUUGAUUACAUGAUUCUUCAUAAAGAAUUUCUUAUUACAAAGUAUUCAACCUGACAGGAAUACAAGCUAAUCUAAGCAAGGACGGUUCCCUUUAUCUACUCCAGAUGUGUCAGGGUUAUUAUCUAAUACUGUAAAGGGAAUAAUUUGCAAGGGUGAGCUAUGACAUUCUCAGCAGGCACUUUAUUUAUAACAAUAUAUGAUUUGAAAAAGUAUAACAAUUUAAAAUUUAACUGAUAGUUGCUACCAUUUCUGGAAUUUCUUUUUUAACCAUUUCUAGACUUUUUAUUUCUGUCAGUCACACAGACUUAGAAACUUUGUUUAGAUAUGAGAUAGGGGAUCAGUCUACUCAAUAUCCUAGGAGUAUGUAUCUCAUCCUAUUAGUGCUCAUAUGCACCCAAAUGUCUUGCUUUGGUAAGACAUCUUAUCCUAAAGUUGUGUAUCCCGUAAGGGAUCGAGAUUUGGUCAAUAAUAUAUUGACAUUUGGGUGCAUAUGAGCACUAGUAGGAUGAGAUGCAUACUCCUAGGAUAUUGAGUAGGUUGAUCCCCUAUCUCAUAUCUAAACAAGGUUUUUAAGUCUGUGUGACUGAUCACAAAAAUAAAAAGUCCAGAAAUGGUUGAAAAAGAAAUUUCAGAAAUGGUAGCAACUAUCAGUUAAAUUUUGAAUUGUUAUACUUCUUCAAAUCAUAUAUUGUUAUAAAUAUAAAGCCUACUGAGCAUGUCAUAGCUCACCCUUCCAAAUUAUUCCCUUUGCAGUAUUAGAUGGUAACCCUGGCACAUCUGGAG